GGUCAUCAGAUACGGUUUGUGGGCCACUGGAGAGAUUCUACUGCAUUAAAGAAGAGAAAGGCAGCUGCACUUUAGCUGUGAAAUAUUCUGAAUGUAACCCUGGACAAUAUAUCAAACAAGCAGGACCUGGCUCCACAGAUCCUGUAUGUGCUGACUGUACAGGUGACACAUAUUCAAACGGAUCUUUCUCAUCCUGUUUACCACAUACAAAAUGUGAGGCCAUGGGACUUGCUGAAACAAAUCCAGGGACACAUUCAUCAGACUCUGAAUGUGGAAAUCCCUCUACUGCUGUAGCAAUCAUUCCCUCUAUUGUUAUAGUUACUUUAUUAUUAAUUACAGUUAUAAGUGUUUUAAUAUUUAAACACAUUCGGAAGAAGAAACUAUCUAAAA